AUUGAACGCUAGCGGCAUGCCUUACACAUGCAAGUCGAACGGCAGCAUGGGUGCUUGCACCUGGUGGCGAGUGGCGAACGGGUGAGUAAUACAUCGGAACGUACCUUAUCGUGGGGGAUAACGCAGCGAAAGCUGUGCUAAUACCGCAUACGCCCUGAGGGGGAAAGCGGGGGAUCGCAAGACCUCGCGCGAUUAGAGCGGCCGAUGCCUGAUUAGCUUGUUGGUGGGGUAAAAGCCCACCAAGGCGACGAUCAGUAGCUGGUCUGAGAGGACGAUCAGCCACACUGGGACUGAGACACGGCCCAGACUCCUACGGGAGGCAGCAGUGGGGAAUUUUGGACAAUGGGGGCAACCCUGAUCCAGCAAUGCCGCGUGAGUGAAGAAGGCCUUCGGGUUGUAAAGCUCUUUUGUCAGGGAAGAAACACCGGCUCUAACACAGUCCGGGAAUGACGGUACCUGAAGAAUAAGCACCGGCUAACUACGUGCCAGCAGCCGCCGUAA
rnacentral:rRNA from 1 species